GAUGAACGCUGGCGGCGUGCCUAAUACAUGCAAGUCGAGCGAACAGACGAGGAGCUUGCUCCUCUGACGUUAGCGGCGGACGGGUGAGUAACACGUGGAUAACCUACCUAUAAGACUGGGAUAACUUCGGGAAACCGGAGCUAAUACCGGAUAAUAUAUUGAACCGCAUGGUUCAAUAGUGAAAGACGGUUUUGCUGUCACUUAUAGAUGGAUCCGCGCCGCAUUAGCUAGUUGGUACGGUAACGGCUUACCAAGGCAACGAUGCGUAGCCGACCUGAGAGGGGGAUCGGCCACACUGGAGCUGAGACACGGUCCAGACUCCUACGGGAGGCAGCAGUAGGGAAUCUUCCGCAAUGGGCGAAAGCCUGACGGAGCAACGCCGCGUGAGUGAUGAAGGUCUUCGGAUCGUAAAGCUCUGUUAUUAGGGAAGAACAAAUGUGUAAGUAACUAUGGACGUCUUGACGGUACCUAAUCAGAAAGCCACGGCUAACUACGUG
rnacentral:rRNA from 1 species